rnacentral:rRNA from 1 species
CACGAAGCAAAUUGAGCUAAUUUUUAACAUUUAUUAGGAUAUAGUAUGUUGCAUAAUAUUUACUGAUUUAAAAUUAGGAGUGACAUUCUUUUCAAAUUUUGCGAUAUCUUGAUGUGUCUGAUAAGUAUUUAGUACAAUUACAGUUAAUAAGCGCUUAGGUUUAUUAAAAAUAUGAAUAACUAUAAUAUUUAAUUUGCAUGGUAUAAUAAUCAGCUUCUUUAUGAUUAUAAUAUUUUUGUAUAAUUUUUAUAAUUGUUAAGACACUACAGUAAUUAUAUAAUUGUUAUUUAAUGUUAUUAUUAGUAAUAAAUAGAUAUUUAUAAUGAACUCGGCAAACUAUCCUUCAACUGUUUACCAAAAACAUAGCUAUUAGAAGUCAUUAAUAGUUUGUUCUGCUCAAUGAAUAAUUAAAUAGCCGCAGUACCCUGACUGUGCAAAGGUAGCAUAAUCAUUUGGCUUAUAAUUGAAGUCUUGUAUGAACGAAACGAUGGGGGAUUACUGUAUUAUAAAUAUAACAUGAAAUUACCUUGGAAGUGAAAAUGCUUUUAUUUAUAUAAUAGACGAGAAGACCCUUGAAAUUUUAAGAACAUGAAUCAAAUAGUUUUUGUUGGGGCAACAAUGUAACAGACAAUUUACAUUUAAACAUGAAAUAAAAUUGAUUGAUUAAAUUACUCUAGGGAUAACAGCGUAAUAUUUUAAUGUUUGCGACCUCGAUGUUGGAUUAGGAAACAAUAGCUUAG